rnacentral:lncRNA from 1 species
ACUGCGGCCUUUUGAGAUCAAAUCUAACACCAUGUUGGAUUGGGCAAAUAAUAAAAUUAGAAAUACCAAUAUGAUUAGUAGUAGACCGUUGCUCCGAUUGUGACACGUUGAUAGUGAUUCCUUCAUCUGUAUAACACUCAACCCACAUUGACUUGAUUUUGGAAUUAGAUAUGUGCGAUCUAAACUGUUAUUGCAUGGUUUGACCAAGGAGCUAGAUUUAUUGUAAAAAAUAAAUUAUUGUAGAAUUAUCAGAGAGACUGGUCAUACGGCCCACUUCCAACAACACCGAUAUUGUCCCCAACUUGGUAAUUACCACCUGCACAAUCCGUCAGGUGUGGGGUUUUAUCACAAAAGGCCUCGGUUAUAGUUGGAGUGGGAUUAUGAUAUUUAAACUCUUAUUUUUCCAUUGAUACGGUCGAUGUGGGACAUUUCAAUACGCCCCCUCACGUGAGACCCAAUUAGUGGGUCACACGUGGGAGAUCCACACAUCGACAAUCACAACCACGUGGAGCCAAGGGGACUCACCCUACACGCAGGGCCAAGGGACCCACCAUCAUCGCGCGGGGCCAAGGGGACCCACCCAUCACGUGGCAGUACGGUACGUGCCCGCUCCCUGGCUCUGAUACCAUGUAGAAUUAUCAGAGAGACGGGUCAUACGGCCCACUUCCAACAACACCGAUAUUGUCCCCAACUUGGUAAUUACCACCUGCACAAUCCGUCAGGUGUGAGGUUUUAUCACAAAAGGCCUCGGUUAUAGUUGGAGUGGGAUUAUGAUAUUUAAACUCUUAUUUU